rnacentral:lncRNA from 1 species
GUAUAUUUAGAAGAAAAUGAACCAUGUAUUUUCUUCUGGCUGCCUCUGCUUCCAGAUCUCAAUUUCAAGGACUUGAAAAGAUUGCAAAGAGGGAGGGAGGAAAAAGGGAUGGAUUGAAAGUAAGAGAAAGUGAGAGUUCAAGACUGAGCGAUGUGGAGACAAGGACUCAAAAAGAGGAUGACAAGGCUCAAAGUCUGGGAAAAAUGACAUUUUAAAUUUUAUGGAACUUACAUUUCUUAAAAAUGAAAUCUAAGCUGAAACUAAAAAAUAAAGCAUGCUUCCUUUGACCUAAUUUAUAUCUAGCUAAUAAGAGAUUGAUUUUUUUCCCCUAUUAUGGUUCUAGUAUUUGAACAUUGUGGCUGUGUCCCCUGCGUCACAGUUACAAAUAGUUCAGAAAGUUUUCUUGUAAGUAAUACUUAGGAAGAAGCCAUAUUUAACUUGUUGUUUUGCUAAAGCUCCAUUCCAAUUUAAGCCAUCUUAUAUCGUUUUUGGAAGUAGGUAGAGUAUAUUUAAAUUGGUGAGUUGUUACUUUAGAAUUUCACAGAUUUUAGCAGACAAGCUAUGAAAAUUGUCAUCCGUGACAUGUUUAUGAUAUCAUUUCAGAAAGAAUUUUCUAGCUCCAAAAAGUUCUAAAGCAAUGAGUAUAGGUGAGAUUAUUUUUGUUUAAGAGAAAAUUUGAAAGUAACCCUUUAUUUGUCUGUCAAUCCCAUUUUUACUCUCAUUCAUUCUGAAUAAUUUUAAAGGUUAAAAUAUAACUCUAUACAGUUAGGUAUAACUGUACAGUAAUGCACAGUCAAAAUGCAAAUACUCCAUGAUUCUGAUACUUUUAUCAUUGUGAAAUGCUAGUCUAUCACUAAUACCCAUUUUAGAAUAAUUUUUUUUUCUAUAGCACAGCUUUAGUCGUGAAUACUUUGUUUAAAAACUCCUAAUAGCUCACCAGCUACUUAGCCUGCCAUUCUUGGGGCUUCUGAUUCUAAUCUUGAUCUAUUUCUCCAGCCUCAGAUUGCACAUUUUCUCCCUGAUGCCACCCUAGUCAUCCCCCGGCCAGACAAAGUGCACUUCUUGGGCAUCCAGGCACUGGUGUCAACAAAAGCAAACAUGUUCUGCUGAUCCCUUGUGUAUCUCUGGUCUUUUCAGUUGUCUAACCAUAGUUCCAGAAUAAAAAAAGCAGGUAGAGGCUCUGUUCUUUAGUUUUCUUGACUUCUAAUAGGACUAAAGGCUAACACAGAGGUUAGGAUGCAUAGAAUAUCUCCAUAGGCUUGAAUUCUCGAUCUCUCUUUUAGGGCCGCACUUGCGGCAUAUGGAAGUUCUCAGGCUGGGGGUCAAAUCUGAGCUGUAACUGCCAGCCUACACCACAGCCACAGCAAUGCAGGAUCCAAGAUGCCCCUGCCACCUACACCACAGCUCAUGGCAACACCGGAUCCUUAACCCAUUGAGUGAGGCCAAGAAUCGAACCCAAAUUCUCCUGGAUACUGGUUGGGCUCGUAACCUGCUGAGCCACAAUGGGAACUCCUGGGCUUGAAUUCUUCUGUUAGAUAUUAGAGAGAUCGAUGCAUGAUCUAACUGUGAUGACAAGAUAGUGGGGGGGGGGGGGUCCCAAAUGCAGCUAGAGAUCUUUCUUGUGUUAGUCUGUAGGUGACAAAUGCCAUAGGCACCUAGAGUUCACCCAAAGAUAAGAUUACCUGAUGAGGAGUUCCCGUCGUGGCGCAGUGGUUACCGAAUCCGACUAGGAACCAUGAGGUUGCGGGUUCGAUCCCUGGCCUUGCUCAGUGGGUUAAGGAUCCAGCGUUGCUGUGAGCUGUGGUGUAGGUCACAGACGCGGCUUGGAUCCCGCGUUCCUGUGGCUCUGGCGUAGGCUGGCAGCUACAGCUCCAAUCCGACCCCUAGCCUGGGAACCUCCAUAUGCCGUAGGAGCGGCCCAAGAAAUGGCAAAAAAAAAAAAAAAAAAA